rnacentral:rRNA from 1 species
GUGGGCCUACGGGGGGUAGCAGUAGGGAAUCUUCCACAAUGGGCGAAAGCCUGAUGGAGCAACGCCGCGUGGGUGAAGAAGGUCUUCGGAUCGUAAAGCCCUGUUGUUAGAGAAGAAAGUGCGUGAGAGUAACUGUUCACGUUUCGACGGUAUCUAACCAGAAAGCCACGGCUAACUACGUGCCAGCAGCCGCGGUAAUACGUAGGUGGCAAGCGUUAUCAGGAUUUAUUGGGCGUAAAGGGAACGCAGGCGGUCUUUUAAGUCUGGUGUGAAAGCCUUCGGUUUAACCGGAGUAG